GGGCGGUGAUGAGAAUCAUUUGAAAGUCAUGCACCACGCUGAUCUUAAUCGUGUGAUGAAAGAUUCUUUACCCAUAAAUUUUCUGAGCCC